rnacentral:rRNA from 1 species
UACAGGGGGUGCAAACGUUGCUCGGAAUUAUUGGGCGUAAAGCGCGCGUAGGCGGCCGCUUAAGUCGGAUGUGAAAGCCCCUGGCUCAACUGGGGAAGUGCACCCGAAACUGAGUGGCUUGAGUACUAAAGAGGGUCGCGGAAUUCCCGGUGUAGAGGUGAAAUUCGUAGAUAUCGGGAGGAACACCGGUGGCGAAGGCGGCGACCUGGGGUAGAUACUGACGCUGAGGCGCGAAAAGCGUGGGGGAGCAAACAGG